rnacentral:lncRNA from 10 species
UCAUUCAAGGAUUUCUGUGGGGCGGAAAGCAGAAAUAUCAUGAGCUCAGUGGAGAGAGAGAAGGCAGUUUUCCAGGCUGGGAGCAGUCAGAUCUCCAGUGGGUCCCAACACUGCUCUGUAGCAAUGCCUAGAAGGUGAUGGAAACAGGGUGAACAUGAGGAGUAUCAAGUCCAAAAUGAAGCUCUUCAAACCAUCUGGGAAGAGAAAACAGCAUGACAAGGAAAGGUGUAUUUGUCUGAUCCCAGUAAUCAAUAUAAACAUCAAUGAUAACCCCACCUAUUUUUUUAAAUGUAUGAUUUGGAUGAAACAAGAGAAAGAGACUGAUUGUUGCUGAGUCCCUGCUGCAGUCCUGACACAGCUCUCCUUAUUUUGUUGAUGCUCAUGAGGACCCUGAUGUCUGAGGAAGAAGGUUCCCGUCCAGCUCUGCCCCUGGUGUGUCACAUGCCGGCCUUGUCAACGCACAC